UUUUUUGUUAGGUGUUGUAUUUUUUUUUGGAAAAACUUUAAAUACAACUUCUAUAGCUUCGCACCUUCUCACUUUAGUAUUCUGUGAUUUAAAGUGUAUCAAUUUAAUGUUAUGUGGUUUCAUUUUUAUCUUUUUAUUAUUAAUUUUACUUUUUUUUCGUUAAAUCAGUGACAAAAUUAAAACUAAAGGAUACUAAAGUAAGUAUUUGAUAAACUUAAGUGGGGUAUAUGAAAUUUUUUGUAUAUAAUAACGAAAUAUUAACGCUGACGAAAAAAUAAAAAUGAGACCACAGAACACUAACUUAAUACAAUUUAAAGCACAGAAUAUUAAAAUGAGAAGAUGCGAAAUCAUAGAUGUAGUAUUUGAAGUUUACCCUACUUUUUUUAAA
rnacentral:lncRNA from 1 species